rnacentral:rRNA from 1 species
AGUGAACGCUGGCGGUAGGCCUAACACAUGCAAGUCGAACGGCAGCACAGUAAGAGCUUGCUCUUACGGGUGGCGAGUGGCGGACGGGUUAGGAAUACAUCGGAAUCUACUUUUUCGUGGGGGAUAACGUAGGGAAACUUACGCUAAUACCGCAUACUACCUACGGGUGAAAGCAGGGGAUCUUCGGACCUUGCGCGAUUGAAUGAGCCGAUGUCGGAUUAGCUAGUUGGCGGGGUAAAGGCCCACCAAGGCGACGAUCCGUAGCUGGUCUGAGAGGAUGAUCAGCCACACUGGAACUGAGACACGGUACAGACUCCUACGGGAGGAAGCAGUGGGGAAUAUUGGACAAUGGGCGCAAGCCUGAUCCAGCCAUACCGCGUGGGUGAAGAAGGACUUCGGGUUGUAAAGCCAUUUUGUUGGGAAAGAAAAGCAGCAGGUUAAUACCCCGCUGUUAUGACGGUACCCAAAGAAUAAGCACCGGCUAACUUCGUG